CAGUCCCAUGCGAUCGGCGAGUUCUCCAUCACGACCAAAGUGUCAAUCCUCUCCUCAGGGUCUAGUUUUUGGCUGACAACGGUUUACAGUCCAUCUGAGGGGGCGCGAAAAGAUACUUUCCUGGCAGGAUUAGUGAGAAGCGCCCCUCCCCAGGGCGAGCCCUAGCUUCUCAAUGGAGAUUUCAACAUUAUCUACGAGGCCGGCGACAAGAACAAUAGCAACAUAAAUAGGAGGAUCAUGGGAAAAUUUAGGGCGGCAAUCGACACCGGUGGGCUGCGAGAGAUUAAAUGCAAAAAUAGGCAUUUACAUGGAGUAGCGAACGCCAGGACCCAACUCUUGCGAGCAUAG
rnacentral:rRNA from 1 species